GAUCUUCGGGCGCUCACCACGAUAACAGCUCUAUUAUUAUCCAUCGUUCAAUCAGUUUUCUCAAAUUACUGUUACUCAUGUAUGAGUAUAAGAACGCACAGCAACUCUACAGCCUAUAAAGUACCUAACAACAUUGAUGAUAGCUGUGAAGAUGAAACUAAUUUAACAGACGUCAUUGAAUGCAACGGAGGAUGUAUGGUUAUGAAUGCGACAUUUAUGUACUCAUAUGACUUGUAUGGUGAGGUGAUGACACAGUUCUUUGUUCGAUCCUGCGGUUACGAUCUCGACCGAUGUCUCGACGAUCAGGAGAUCGACCCGUUACUCAGAGAAUACGAAAAGGACAUCAGUGCCGGCGUCGAAAACGGAACAUUUAUCGGCUUCACAGGCUAUGUCUGUUUCUGCAAAGGAGCAAACUGCAAUACCGGGAAUUCACUUAGCCAAAACCCAGUCCCUCUUGUUGCAUUUAGUGUUUUAGUUCUACUUUGUCAAUUUCUAACUUGAAUGAUGAUAUCGACGUCAAUGGGUACUCAAACAUUGUAUUUUACGUUGAUUAAUGUCGGGUCUUAGGCGCGUAUUCAUAAGUCAGGUUUUAUUCAAACUCUGGUCUAAAUUAUAAUAAUAACAAUAAUAAUAAUAUAGGUAUAUUAACCCAGGGAAGCCACUUCAGUUCUGAAAACUAUUCUCCCAGCGGGCCCUGCUAUUAUCAUUAAAGGGUUAACUAUGGAAAGCCAAUUGUGACAGUAGUCUCUAGGAAAUGAAGUUGAAUUUAUCGGCUCAUUUGGCGUACUAAUCCUUCAAAACAUGUUUUAGAAUAUUAAUGUAAAUAGUUUUCUUACCAUUCAUGCAUAGAUAAAGAACUCGGUAAACAUGAGAAGCGUACAAUGUAAGCAAAAUUUCGUCAUUUUUUCUGGCUUCUCAUAAUUCAGUACUGACUUAGACCAUAAACCUGAUUUUAGAAUACGGGCCUUAGUCACCCGGACGAAACCGACUCCAGUCUGAGUACAUUGAAGUCAUAUUAGCGUAAGAUUUGUUGUGGAAAUGGGAAAUUGAUUAUCAUUUGCUGAUUCCAGACUUUGUUAAACGCAUUGAAAUACCUGAAAUAAAGACACCUCUUUGGGGGAAAGCAGACUUGGUGUAUCAGCGAAAAGUUCCUACUUGACAAAGCUCGGCUAAGCCUCGGGCACCUGUCAUGCCGAGGACAGUGAGACACUUAACUAUAAGGUGAUUAAAAGUGACAUUACACAACAUCUGAUGUCCAUAAAACCCUUGCUCACUUUAUACACUGUUAGAAAAUUUAUUUUUAAAAUAAAAGAAGUUCCUGCAGCAGAGUCUCGAGAACACCUGUAAUCUUACCAGAUUGCGUAUUCUUAUAUUAUAUCAUAUAAAAUUACAGGAAAUUGGUAUUUGAUGUAUGGAACCUUACAAAUUUCCUUAAAUAAAACACCCUUUUCCCCUUUAUAAACAGACCUGUUCUGUUAAAUUGCAGAAAAAUCCUGUUUUAUGAAUUUACAGAAAAAAUGAUUCUGUUAUUACUUUCUGCAAAAUCUUUUUUUUUGGUAAAAUCAGGUUUUAACAGUGUAUAUAAUUGGCUUCCGUAUAUGGUUUCAAAUUCCGCUUGGAAUACGACGCCCAAUACGACUUUACUUUUUUUUUCCAACGAUGUGCAAAUACGGUGUCGGUUUCGUCGGUGUCACUGUAGCCUUACGGACCACACGCUACAGGUCCCUGAAGUUCUUGAGAACACUCAAUACAGUAGAGUUCAGUCUUGUAACGUAUAGUGGCUAUCAUAUAGGCCUAUUAUUUAUGCCUAUAAAUACUGGUCGAGCAGUGACCACAUUAUCAAUUUGUCUAUCCGGCCAUGGUGGUACGCAGCAGGAAGAUUUGGGGGGUAGUUUCCAACCCCCCUUCCCCUCAACAGCCACCCCACUGAAAUUGUUUCUUCCUUUCUUUCCGUUCGAGCUCAUUUAGAUAAACUGGCAUUUAUCUCUAACAUGACUGAAAGGAUUCUGGUUAUCAACAAAAUGAAAAUGUUAGAAUAAAUACGAACAGCAUUUGAUAAAUUUAGGAUCAGCUUAGACGAGAGAAAAAAAAAUGUUGAUAUUCAUGAUUAUUUCAAAAUUGAAAUGAAAUACAUUAAAAAGUUGAAAAUUCAUUAAUGAUUUACUUAAUUUGUUAACUGAAAUUUUGCGACGGUAAUUACGAUUUAUUUUUUCAUAAUUAUUUGCCGAUGAUUCAGGCCACAC